rnacentral:rRNA from 1 species
GACGAACGCUGGCGGCGUGCUUAACACAUGCAAGUCGAACGGAAAGGCCCUGCUUUUGUGGGGUGCUCGAGUGGCGAACGGGUGAGUAACACGUGAGUAACCUGCCCUUGACUUUGGGAUAACUUCAGGAAACUGGGGCUAAUACCGGAUAGGAGCUCCUGCUGCAUGGUGGGGGUUGGAAAGUUUCGGCGGUUGGGGAUGGACUCGCGGCUUAUCAGCUUGUUGGUGGGGUAGUGGCUUACCAAGGCUUUGACGGGUAGCCGGCCUGCGAGGGUGACCGGCCACAUUGGGACUGAGAGACGGACCAGACGCCUACGGGAGGCAGCAGUGGGGAAUAUUGCACAAUGGGCGGAAGCCUGAUGCAGCAACGCCGCGUGCGGGAUGACGGCCUUCGGGUUGUAAACCGCUUUCGCCUGUGACGAAGCGUGAGUGACGGUAAUGGGUAAAGAAGCACCGGCUAACUACGUG